AACGCGAAGAACCUUACCAGCUUUUGACAUGUCCUGGACGGAUUGUGGAGACACGAUCUUCCCUUCGGGGCCGGGAACACAGGUGCUGCAUGGCUGUCGUCAGCUCGUGUCGUGAGAUGUUGGGUUAAGUCCCGCAACGAGCGCAACCCUCGCCUUUAGUUGCCAUCAUUCAGUUGGGCACUCUAGAGGGACUGCCGGUGAUAAGCCGGAGGAAGGUGGGGAUGACGUCAAGUCCUCAUGGCCCUUACAGGCUGGGCUACACACGUGCUACAAUGGCGGUGACAGAGGGAGGCGAAGUCGCAAGGCUUAGCAAAUCUCAAAAAGCCGUCUCAGUUCGGAUUGCACUCUGCAACUCGGGUGCAUGAAGUCGGAAUCGCUAGUAAUCGCGGAUCAGCACGCCGCGGUGAAUACGUUCCCGGGCCUUGUACACACCGGCUAC
rnacentral:rRNA from 1 species